rnacentral:rRNA from 1 species
UACGUAGGGUGCGAGCGUUGUCCGGAAUUAUUGGGCGUAAAGAGCUCGUAGGCGGCCUGUCGCGUCCGCUGUGAAAUCCCGGGGCUUAACCCCGGGCGUGCAGUGGAUACGGGCUGGCUGGAGGCAGGCAGGGGAGAACGGGAUUCCCGGUGUAGCGGUGAAAUGCGCAGAUAUCGGGAGGAACACCGGUGGCGAAGGCGGUUCUCUGGGCCGAUACUGACGCUGAGGAGCGAAAGCGUGGGGAGCGAACAGG